AAAACACGGUUCCUUGUGUUAAAAUAGCAUUUGUUGAACUCCUGUAGAGUAAACCGCUGAAUGUGUAAAGAUGCUAGACACUAUAGUUGUGAUUUUACAGUAAAAACACGAUUUAUUAUGAUAACAGGGGAGCUCUAGUAAACACACAUAACUUAAUUCUCCGAAGUGGAUUUACAUAUCCUAAACCACAUCUUAAAGGUGCUUAUUAAAUGUUUAAAAUCUGACAGGAACAUCUUUAAGUAUUAUGGCUUAAGAGUGAUGGAUUAUGUAUGAGUGAUGUAUGUGGGCUAUUAUGUAGAAUUCACUGUUGUCAACACUGCUUACAUUACAUGAAUGAAAAUAAUGUAAAUAAAUAAAUAUACCUAAAAUAUAAGUUUAAUCUAUUUUAUUUGUCCAUUAGUACUGUUGGUAAAUUAAGGAACAUUUGUAUUGGAUAAAAAGAGUAUAAACAUGUAAAUGUAGUAUUGAGCACAUAAAUCUCAGAGGAAACUUGAAUCUUGUCUGAUGUUACAGGGACAGAUGAUCACACGUGUGUUUAUCUGCUGAUGAAGGAAUGCUGCCAUCAAAGUCUAUUUAAAUCUAAAGUCUAGUUUAUUUUAAUUAUUGUAAUUUAAACAGAGUUAUUACAGCACUUUUCUGAAUCUUGAUUUCUGUGCAUUUGCUGCAGAGCUUUGUGGUGAAGCAGGACCUACAAGACAAGGAUGUGAAAUGUCCUCAGACUGGUGUGAGCACUGAGGAUGGAGAGCCACAGCAGGUCCUGGAAAUGGUGUAGAGCCAUGGACGAGAACCUCCAUCACUCCUCCUUCCAAGUGACUUGAUCAAGGACACACUGGAGGUGAUGCUGCAGAGAUUGAACUAGCAACCUUCUGCUGACCAGCUCAGUGGUUUAGCCCACCACACCACAAAAUCAUGCUGAUGGAGAGCACAUGAAUGUUUGCAGCAGACACAGCAGCAGCCAGAUUGUCCUGCACAUCUUCUCCCAGUCUUGCUUCAAGGUUGUGGGGUUCAGGGGUCCAUCAUCAUCAUCUUCCUCAUCCUCUGGAUCAACGAUGUCCCCACUGAGAAGAGCAGCAGUGAGGGACAUGAUGGAUGAAGGUGUUCGUCAGAAUAAAGCAGCAGAAUGGGCACAGCUGUGUGAGAUGGCAGUAGGAUUGUAAAUACGUGAUUGUUAGAUCAAUAAAUUUGAAUAAAGCUUUGUUUCAUGUGUU